rnacentral:rRNA from 1 species
UACGGAGGGGGCUAGCGUUGUUCGGAAUUACUGGGCGUAAAGCGUGCGCAGGCGGUGAUGUAAGGCAGGUGUGAAAUCCCCGGGCUUAACCUGGGAACUGCAUUUGUGACUGCAUCGCUGGAGUGCGGCAGAGGGGGAUGGAAUUCCGCGUGUAGCAGUGAAAUGCGUAGAUAUGCGGAGGAACACCGAUGGCGAAGGCAAUCCCCUGGGCCUGCACUGACGCUCAUGCACGAAAGCGUGGGGAGCAAACAGG